GCAGUGACAGAAAUUAAGAUGGGCCUGAGGAAGGGCAGCGCCGUCAGUUUGCGACGGCUCUCUUUCCCCGUGAUCUUUCUGGCCUUGUUGUUGCUCAUAUUUUCCGGAAGCGCUCACGCCAGAAAGAUGGCGAGGGAUGUGAAGGCAGGUGGGCCCAUUAGCUACCGGAGUCUUCGGCGACCGCCUCCUUAUGGUCCGCAUUGCAGUAACCCAUAUAUGUGCGGCCCUUGCCCUUAUAUACUUGGUUGUUCUUCACGAGGAGGGCCGCCCCUUGGGCCGAGCGCCCCACUUCCAUGAAAUGCCACAUUUUAGCAAAUAAAUGCUUAAUUUCCUCCAUAUAAUAAGCACCAGUACGUACCUGUGGUUCGUGGAAGGUUGCCAGAAGAAGAGGAGGAAAAAAGUCGAAAGCGAUUGCCGAUAACAGCAAGUGUCAGUCUUAGACCCUUGUUUCCAGCUUCAGGCAUGCCAUGCAAGCUGGUAAAUCUUGUUCGGACAGCAGGUUUAUGUAAUAAAUCUGGAGAUAUAACUGUACGAGAGGUGGCAUUGUGAUCAUUUACAUGACUGUAAGUGUGUUGCCGCUCUUUCACGAGCCUAAAUAAAAGCUUUUUCUUUCAAGAUGGUAUUACAAUUAAAGCUCACUUUUUUUUUA